rnacentral:rRNA from 1 species
UACGUAGGGUCCGAGCGUUGUCCGGAAUUAUUGGGCGUAAAGGGCUCGUAGGCGGUCUGUCGCGUCGGGAGUGAAAUUUUACAGCUUAACUGUGAACGUGCUUUCGAUACGGGCAGACUGGAGGCAUGCAGGGGAGAACGGAAUUCCUGGUGUAGCGGUGAAAUGCGUAGAUAUUGGGAGGAACACCAGUGGCGAAGGCGGCUCACUGGACCGGUACUGACGCUGAUGCGCGAAAGCGUGGGGAGCAAACAGG